GAAGCAACGCGAGGCCGGUCUGA
rnacentral:miRNA from 1 species